GUAUAGCUUAGUGGUAUAGCAUUUGCCUAUCAAGUAUAAAGCUCUGGGUUCAGUCCCCAGCAACAUACA
rnacentral:tRNA from 1 species